UUAACUACAUACAUUCAACAUACUUUAUUAAAAAAAAUAAAAAAUUACACGAGUAUAUAUUAAAAUUUGUUGGAUAAUCGGGUAACCAAUCAGUACCUGUUCCGGUUUUAAAAAAAUGCAGAUUGGAAUCUAUUAUAAUCGAUUCUUGGUUUUAUUAUUCGGUAUUAGAACAAUCGAAUCUAAUUAUGAUUUUAAAGCCUCAACAAACCUGUAAUUGGCUCAUAUUUUGGGUACUCGAAAUUUUUGCAAGUUGGCGCCGAGGGGUGGUGGGGGGUGGGGGUUGGGGACUCCCCUUGUGACUUUAAGUUACCGAUAUCUAUCACCUCCCAUUUAGUCUUACGUUGGUUGAUUAUAAAAGCUCUUCACCACUUUUUCUCUCACAAACAAUACUUUUUACAUGUUACUUUAACCUCUACUCCAUGAAAAAACAAGUGUAAAUUAAGGAAAUAUAGGGAGUAUGAAUAUGAUCAUAAUUAUUACAAUUUUUUUUGUAUAUCAUCCAACCAAAUCAAAAAAUUAAAAUAGAAAAAUUUCCAUUAUAUUCCCCCCGUGUUUACAUAAAUGAAACAAAUUUCUUUUGCGACCGUAUUUAAAUAAAUAAAACGUUUCAUUAUUUGGUAAUUUCUCUUUAUUUUUUAAUAAUAUUUUCUAUAUUUUUUAAUAACAUUCCACCAAUUAAUGGUCCCACAAAAUCCUUUACCCUCUUUUUCUCUGAACUUAUACUUCAAUUCUUAUUAUUUUAAUAAAUUCAACUAGCCUUCUUAAAAAUUUCAUAAAAUUCGAAACGAGUAAUAUACUUAAACACGAAGGAAGUAGCUAUCAAAUCGAGCUUAUCCGCGAGUUGUUCACAAAUGUAUCCGCUAUUGAUAUCCUUACCACCCCUACUAAAAUACCUCUUCUCAAACGUAGCCAACUACCCAAGCCAAAAAAAGAAUCGUUAUUUGUUUUCGUCUUUUAGCAAGACACACACUCCUUGCCAUUUCCAUCUUUCUCCUUUUUUGUUAAGAGUUGCAGACCACAGUUAUACAGUACUGCACCACACUGUACACCCACAUGAUUGGGCUCCAAGGCAACCAAAACUACUUUUUUCUCAUUCAUCAGUGAAGAGCUCCAAAAACACUCCAUAAAAUCAAGCUGAAGGAUAACAGAAUUAGCCUGAUAUUAGAGGAGGUCUGAAACAAUUGUUAGUCAAGUUCAUUGCUCUUUGUCAAAAAUGUCUGAUGAAAAAACCCUUAAUAUCCCUCAAGAAAUCUGGUUCAUAAUUUGGAAAAAACUGCCAGUGAAAACUCUAGGCCAAUGUCUGUGUGUGCGCAAACCCUGGAACACUCUCAUUACUUCCUCUUCGUUUGUGGCUGCCCACACCGAGAAUUCCUCUCAAGUCGAGGGUAGUUCUCUUCUCUUGUAUAGGCAAUUCACAAAUGCUCCCAAGAAAAAUGAAGAGUACAUGUUUAUGCUCGAUUCAUCCCAAAAAGAAUCAGACCUUGAGCCUUGCUACACCUUAACUUGCCCCUUUGUGACUGGAGAUGUCGGGAAAUAUUUCCGUGUGGUUGGUUCUGUUAAUGGUCUGAUAUGUCUCUCUGAUGAUCUGUUUGGGUACACCUACCUUAUGAUCCUUUGGAAUCCCUUGCUUCGCAAAUACAUCAGACUUCCUGUGCCAAGAGUGAAUUAUGUUGUUAAGGGUGCCCACAUAUCUUCUUUUGGCUUUGGGUAUGAUACUAGGAAGGCUUCUCACAAGGUGGUGAGAAUAAGCUACAUGCGCGAAAAAAAUGCUGUGUAUGACGUGACUCCUCCUAUUGUUGAGCUGUAUUCGGUUAAGGAAGGUAAAUGGAGGUACGUGUCUGCUGACAGUCUGGUUAAUAUUUGCAUAUGUGACUACUGGUGGUCUCAAUGUUUUCUCAAUCGCACUGUUCACUGGGUUGCUUGGGAGAGGGAUGCUAGUACUCUUGCUUUCAGCAGAAACUGGUUUCUGAUUUUUGAUGUGGAGGAAGAGAAGUUCAAGAAGAUGAAAUUUCCUGAUGCUCUUGCCAAAGUAUGCACAUUAAAUCUGAGUGUUGCAGAGUAUUGCUCCAAGUUGUCGGUACUUCAUUCUGUGCUCAAAGGAGGCGCUGUAGGGAAUGAAAUGGAACGCUGUGAGAUCUGGGUCAAGGGAGACUAUACAGUGGGGAGCUCAUGGAGCAAAGUGGUUAGUAUUGACAUCAGUUCAAGUGCUGGUUUAGGCUGGGUUCAGUGCUUGAGGAAAAAUGGGGAUGUGUUGGGGUUUUCUAAGAAAGGAGAGCUAGUGUCCUAUGAUCCACUGAUGAAAAGGACUAAGGGGCUUGGUGUUCGUGGGUGUUGGCGCUCCUGGUUCACCUGUUCAUUUACGGAGAGUCUCAUUCUGCUGGACAGAAAGAAAGGUGUAGGUACUUGUGGUAAGGCUAGAGAGAAGAAAUUUGAAACGGUUUUCUCCAAUGGCAUGCUGGACAUGGCAGAAAUAGAGGUUGACGGAAGCAGUGUAGGUGAAAAAGACCAGUCUGCUGGACAACCUAUUAACUCUGUUUAUCAUCAGGGAAAAUUCAUACUACUGGAGCAGCUGGGCAAAUUUGAUGGAACUAGCAUUACAAGAGAUCCCUCGGAGUAUGUCUAUGGCUGGUUUUGAAUUUUCUGAGUUCAUGUCAAUUGCUGAGUCCAUGGCUAUGUCUUUGUCCAUCGGUCAUGACUGAAGCUCCUCAGGUUCAAGCCUUAAACCUGCAGUCUCAAGUUUGUUCUUCGAUCGGCUGUCAUUCCCGGAAUGCUAACACUAUGUUUAUAAUCUAGUAAAGCUUAAGGAGAAACAAUUAUAAACUUCUAGCUUUUUUGGGAUUUGGAUUUGGAAACUUUGGUUCUGUUAACUUUAAGUUGCCUGUAAUUAACUAUACUCCGACUUUUGUGUACCGUGUCCUUUCCUUAUGACAGGUCAUGUAUAUCUCUAGUAUGGCACAGGUGCUUUAUGCAGGUUUUAUUUGUGUUAAACUAUAGCUUACUGUUUUGCGCGCUAAUUACUCAAGCCGCAGCAGCAGAAAUUGUUU